CGUAUCACUUAAAGCGAUUCAGCGGGUUACGAUUGACGGAGCGAAGCGACGUCAAAGCGUAUACAAAGUCGAGUCGGUUUAAGGAUACGUUCGUUGGGUAGGGGAGCGUUCUGUAAGCCUGUGAAGGUGGCCUGUGAGGGUUGCUGGAGGUAUCAGAAGUGCGAAUGCUGACAUAAGUAACGAUAAAGCGGGUGAAAAGCCCGCUCGCCGGAAGACCAAGGGUUCCUGUCCAACGUUAAUCGGGGCAGGGUGAGUCGACCCCUAAGGCGAGGCCGAAAGGCGUAGUCGAUGGGAAACGGGUUAAUAUUCCCGUACUUGGUGUUACUGCGAAGGGGGGACGGAGAAGGCUAUGUUGGCCGGGCGACGGUUGUCCCGGUUUAAGCGUGUAGGUGUGUGUUCCAGGUAAAUCCGGUUCACUUUAACACUGAGGCGUGACGACGAGGCACUACGGUGCUGAAGCAACAAAUGCCCUGCUUCCAGGAAAAGCCUCUAAGCAUCAGGUAACAUCAAAUCGUACCCCAAACCGACACAGGUGGUCAGGUAGAGAAUACCAAGGCGCUUGAGAGAACUCGGGUGAAGGAACUAGGCAAAAUGGUGCCGUAACUUCGGGAGAAGGCACGCUGACAUGUAGGUGAAGUGAUUUACUCAUGGAGCUGAAGUCAGUCGAAGAUACCAGCUGGCUGCAACUGUUUAUUAAAAACACAGCACUGUGCAAACACGAAAGUGGACGUAUACGGUGUGACGCCUGCCCGGUGCCGGAAGGUUAAUUGAUGGGGUCAGCGCAAGCGAAGCUCCUGAUCGAAGCCCCGGUAAACGGCGGCCGUAACUAUAACGGUCCUAAGGUAGCGAAAUUCCUUGUCGGGUAAGUUCCGACCUGCACGAAUGGCGUAAUGAUGGCCAGGCUGUCUCCACCCGAGACUCAGUGAAAUUGAACUCGCUGUGAAGAUGCAGUGUACCCGCGGCAAGACGGAAAGACCCCGUGAACCUUUACUAUAGCUUGACACUGAACAUUGAGCCUUGAUGUGUAGGAUAGGUGGGAGGCUUUGAAGUGUGG
rnacentral:rRNA from 1 species